rnacentral:rRNA from 2 species
AGUGGGGAAUAUUGCACAAUGGGCGCAAGCCUGAUGCAGCGACGCCGCGUGAGGGAUGACGGCCUUCGGGUUGUAAACCUCUUUCAGUAGGGAAGAAGCGAAAGUGACGGUACCUGCAGAAGAAGCACCGGCUAACUACGUGCCAGCAGCCGCGGUAAUACGUAGGGUGCGAGCGUUAUCCGGAAUUAUUGGGCGUAAAGAGCUCGUAGGCGGUUUGUCGCGUCUGUCGUGAAAGUCCGGGGCUUAACCCCGGAUCUGCGGUGGGUACGGGCAGACUAGAGUGCAGUAGGGGAGACUGGAAUUCCUGGUGUAGCGGUGGAAUGCGCAGAUAUCAGGAGGAACACCGAUGGCGAAGGCAGGUCUCUGGGCUGUAACUGACGCUGAGGAGCGAAAGCAUGGGGAGCGAACAGGAUUAGAUACCCUGGUAGUCCAUGCCGUAAACGUUGGGCACUAGGUGUGGGGACC